rnacentral:rRNA from 1 species
UACAGAGGGUGCGAGCGUUAAUCGGAGUUACUGGGCGUAAAGGGCGCGUAGGCGGUGAGAUGAGUGUGAUGUGAAAGCCCCGGGCUUAACCUGGGAAGCGCAUCGCAAACUAUCUGACUGGAGUAUAUGAGAGGGUGGCGGAAUUUCCGGUGUAGCGGUGAAAUCCGUAGAUAUCGGGAGGAAUACCAGCGGCGAAGGCGGCCUUCUGGACGGUGACUGACGCUGAGACGCGAAAGCGUGGGGAGCAAACAGG